rnacentral:rRNA from 1 species
UACGGGGGGAGCAAGCGUUGUUCGGAUUUACUGGGCGUAAAGGGCGCGUAGGCGGUCGUGACAGGUCACUUGUGAAAUCUCCGGGCUUAACUCGGAACGGGCAAGUGAUACUGUCGGACUAGAGUACAGAAGGGGCAACUGGAAUUCUCGGUGUAGCGGUGAAAUGCGUAGAUAUCGAGAGGAACACCUGCGGCGAAGGCGGGUUGCUGGGCUGAUACUGACGCUGAGGCGCGAAAGCCAGGGGAGCGAACGGG